rnacentral:sRNA from 1 species
CACUCAUCCACCAUCCUCGCCAGUGGCGAA